GACGAACGCUGGCGGCGUGCUUAACACAUGCAAGUCGAACGGGAACCUUUAUUUCGGUAAAGGUGAGAGUGGCAAACGGGUGAGUAACACGUAGGCAACCUGCCGACAGGAUGGGGACAACAUUCCGAAAGGAAUGCUAAUACCGAAUGGAGUCCGGGGAUGGCAUCAUCCCUGGAUAAAAGAUGGCCUCUGAAUAUGCUAUCGCCUGUCGAUGGGCCUGCGUCUGAUUAGCCAGUUGGCGGGGUAACGGCCCACCAAAGCGACGAUCAGUAGCCGGUCUGAGAGGAUGAACGGCCACAUUGGGACUGAGACACGGCCCAGACUCCUACGGGAGGCAGCAGUGGGGAAUCUUCCACAAUGGGCGAAAGCCUGAUGGAGCAACGCCGCGUGAGUGAAGAAGGUCUUCGGAUCGUAAAGCUCUGUUGCACGGGACGAAAACCGAGCUUGAAAAUAUUGAGCUUGGGUGACGGUACCGAGCGAGGAAAGCCACGGCUAACUAC
rnacentral:rRNA from 1 species